AGGAUUCUUUGUCCAGGAAGUUCCAGCAUUCAUGUCAUGGGUUCGUUAUAUCUCGAUUAACUAUCACACAUACAGACUUCUCUUAAAGAUUCAGUUCAAAUCCUUGAGAAAUUCAAAGUAUGGCUCUGUUGAUGACUCUAGUGGAGUUGAAUUAGGAGCAAUGUUGGUGAUGGUUAUUGGAUAUAGGGUGUUAGCCUACUUCCUCCUAAGAAAAAUGAAACUAAGAACAAGCAAAUAAUUGAUAAGUAUCAUUUUUAUAGUUUUAAGAUCCAAUUUCUACCAAUAAGUUGUAACUACAACAUUCUAUAUGUACUAUGUUCUUACUUUGUUUCAUUUAUUUCCUUCCUAUUAGUUCUUUGAUGUGGAGAUGGAAAUUUCG
rnacentral:misc_RNA from 1 species